rnacentral:tRNA from 84 species
GCGGGCGUCGUUCAAUGGUAGGACGCGAGCUUCCCAAGCUUGAGACGUGGGUUCGAUUCCCAUCGCCCGUACCA